CGGGAUUGCUUAUAGCGGCGAGUGAAGCGGCAAGAGCUCAAAUUUGAAAUCUAGUACCUUUGGUGCUCGAGUUGUAAUUUGUAGAGUAGUGCCUUGGGGCCGUUCCUUGCCUAUGUUCCUUGGAACAGGACGUCAUGGAGGGUGAGAACCCCGUGUGGCGAGGGGUGCGGUUCUGUGUAAGGCCUGCUCGAAGAGUCGAGUUGUUUGGGAAUGCAGCUCUAAGUGGGUGGUAAAUUCCAUCUAAAGCUAAAUACAGGCGAGAGACCGAUAGCGAACAAGUACAGUGAUGGAAAGAUGAAAAGAACUUUGAAAAGAGAGUGAAAAAGUACGUGAAAUUGUUGAAAGGGAAGGGCAUUUGAUCAGACAUGGUGUUUUGCGCCCCCUGCUCCUUGUGGGUGGGGGAAUCUCGCAGCUCACUGGGCCAGCAUCAGUUUUGGCGGCUGGAUAAAUCCGGAGGAAUGUGGCUUCUCUCGGGAAGUGUUAUAGCCUGCGGGAAUACGGCCAGCCGGGACUGAGGAACGCGACGCAAGUCAAGGAUGCUGGCAUAAUGGUUAUAUGCCGCCCGUCUUGAAACACGG
rnacentral:rRNA from 1 species